rnacentral:lncRNA from 10 species
CUUCCGCCCGAAAGCGCCGGUGCACCCCGCAGGCCCUGCCCGUGGGUCCACAGGCCGGAUCCCCGGGUUCCUAGGCUGGGACUGCUUCUCAGAACCACUCUGUCGUUUUUAAGCAGGGUCACACACUCUAGCUCACUGGGUCCAUUUUAAUUUCUAUUAAACAUUUUUUUUUUUUUGCAAAUGAUGUAGUAGGAGAUCCAAGGUGUUUGGUUAAUGAUUUAUUCACUCAUUAGUCAUUCCACAAACUUGUCUUGAGCACCUGUUAUGUACCCAGCACUGUGCUGGAAUGCUGAGGAGACAGGAGUGAAGUAAAAAGACAUGGUUCCGGCAGGAAACAGGCAAGGAGAGCCUUGACUUGACGGAGUCUGGCUAUAUCGCCAGGCUGGAAUGCAAUGGCGCGAUCUCUCCUCACUGCAACCUCCGCCUCCCGGGUUCAAGCGAUUCUCCUGCCUCAGCACCUCGAGUAGCUGGGACUACAGGCGCGCGCCACCACGCCCAGGUAAUUUUUUGUAUUUUUAGGAGAGAUGGGGUUUCACCAUGUUGGCGAGGGUGGUCUCAUUUCUUGACCUCGUGAUGCGCCCACCUCGGUCUCCCAAAGUGCUGGGAUUACAGGCAUGAGCCACUGUGCCCGGCCAGUAUGAUCAGUUUUUGCGCAGAGAGCUGGAGGGAUAGAGUAUCAGAAUGAGGGAUGAUAGAAACGCAGGUUACCAGUGGCACGGAGAGUGGGCAUGGAGAGAAGUGGGGGCCCUGGGGAAUACUUAGAAGGCGGGAUGAACAGAGCUUGGUGACUGACCAAGUGAAUGACGGUGAAAGAGGAUUCCAAGUUUUUUGUUCCCAAAACUGAGUGAAUGGUGCUGCCUCAGGUGUCACGAGUCUGACCUCGAGGCAGUCUUCAGAUGUCUGACAGUCUUUGCUUGUCUGUUCAUGAUUAAAAGUGGGUGGUCUUGGGCUUGUGGUGGUGAUGGCUGUAAACAGCAUAAUGAGCUUAGUCCUGAUGAUCUUGGUGGCAGAUGGUUUUGAUAAGAUGAUGAGUUUGGGGAAAGUAUUGCCUUUCCAAUCCUGCCAUUAGAAGAAUGUAGGCUGAAGAAAGUGCUGUAUUACUGAGAGGAGACAUGACAGUAUUCAUCACUUCAAACACUAUCUUGCCAAUCUUCUCAGUGGUUUUGACCCUGGCCUCAAACCCCCACACAAAACCUCAGAUCAAUACAAAUCUCUUCCUUAUCCACUCCUACUAUACAUAGUUGAGGACAACUUUUCUGCUUGCACUCAGGAGAUGACACUGCCUCCUACUUCAGAAAAGAAAAUUAAAACUAUUAGCUAGAAUUUGCACAACCUCCCACUGCUUCCUCCUUCCCUCCUCCAACAUCUUGAUUCACUACCAUUCUUACCUUCUUUUAGGUGACAAAGAGUAAGAGGAGGAACCCCAUGUAUAUCUCCUCUUCUGGGACCUUGCACCAUCAAUUACUUCACUUCCAUGUAUCUUUGCCUCUCCAUUUCUACUGGUUCUUUACUUUCAACACAUACUCAAGUUAUUCCCAUUUUCUCUUCAAAGGAGAGGAUCAUAUUUGCUCUCUGUAAUUCCACUUCCCCCUCUCUCCCUUGAAUUCACUCCAUUCAGUCCUUCAUGCCCACCAUGCCACGAAACUGCCACUUGUCAAGGUCACCUGUGAGCUCCAUGCUGCCAGUUUCAAUGGCCAAAGCUUCACUCUUGCAACUUCUGUUGUUCUUGACUACUUCCUCUCUUGACAUGUCUCAUUCACUUUGUUGCAUAUCAUCACUUUCUUCUGGUUUGUCUUUUAUCCCUGUGACUUCACUGUUCCUUAAACAUGACAAGCAUGCUCUUGCCUCAGGGCUUCUUCACUAGCUAUUCCCUCUGUCUGGAAUGCAGAAAUCUACAUGACUCAUACUCUCCCUUUACUCAAGACUGCUCACUUGUCACUGACUACCUAUAAAUUAGCUCCUUUGUUGUUGUCUUUAUGACACCACAACUUCACAUACGUCGCCAUCUCUUUACUUUCCUAUAGUUAUCUUCUAGACUGUGUCUUCUCCUUAUCUCCAGUUUUCAUUCUGUAUUUUUUUUCUUUUUAGUAAGAGGAAAUAACUCUACAUUCAAAUUUGAGCAGGGCACUUGGUGACCUACUUAGACAUGACAUUCCUUGGCCUCCCUUUCAGCAAGGUAAGGCUAUAUCAAAAAGUUAUGUCCUGUAAGAUGUGAGUAGAACUGGAUCAUGUCCCUUAAAAGGAAAGCUGCUUGCUAUACACUUUCUCUUCCCUCUUCUUGCUGUCUGGCAAAUGGCAAAAAGAAAUACAGACUGGAAAUGGAAGCCAUGUAUUAAGGAAGGCAAAGCUGUUCUCACUAGCCUAAGUCCCAAACUAAUCUCAGGGAGCUGGGGCACCUCCUCCCUUGGAUCAACCACAGACUUCUGGACCAUUAUGCAAGAGAAAAUAAACUUUGUUCUUUAAAAAAUCAUUGUUUGUUUGGACCUGGUAGAGCAGCUUAGCCAAUUCCCUAAUUAAAACAGAGGGGCUCUGUCUAUUUUAUUCUCUGCUUAAUCACCAGGAUGUAAAACAGUACCUAAUAAAUGUGGUAAAUAAAAAUGUAUUGAAUAAAUCCUAAAACAACGUAUUUAUUCUACAUCCUCCUCCAGCUAAUGUCCCUUUUUCAACUUUCUUUUCCACUCAAGCUUUGUGAAAGUAUAUAUUUUUUCAUAUUGCCACUAAUUCUUCUAAAGCCCCUCACAGGAAUAAGUGACACCUUUCUCAGUCUUUUUGGAAACUGAUUCCCCUUCUCUACUAAACCAAGAUCCUUGCAGGUAGCAAUCUUUUAGCAUGGAACUUUGGAUUUCCCUUAGCACCUGUUGCAUAGGUAUCCAAAAAAUAUUUACUGAGUUGAGUGAGUGCUUUGUAUCUUUGGAAACAGUAAACCGUAGCAGAGAACUUGACAGACUGGUCUGAGAUUACACUAGUUGCCUUUACUAAACAUGCGUUUUACAAUAGAUCCUAGGGCCACUGUAGUUCAGUCUCGGUAUUUUGUUUGUUUUUAAUUUAAGCUUUUGUAUUCCUAAUAGGAUUUUUUUAUUGUUGUUUUUUUGAGAUGGAGCCUCGCUCUGUCGCCCAGGCUGGAGUGCUGUGGUGUAGUCUCAACUCACCACAAUCACUGCCUCCCAGGUUCAAGUGAUUCUCCUGCCUCAGCCUCCUGAGUAGCUGGGAUUACAGGCAUGCGCCACCAUGCCUGGCUAAUUUUUAUAUUUUCAGUAGAGAUGGGAUUUCACCAUGUUGGCCAGGCUGGUCUCGAACUCCUGACCUCAAGUGAUCUGCCUGCCUCAUCCUCCCAAAGUGCUGGGAUUACAGGCAUGAGCCACUGCGCUUGGCCAGGAUGUUCUUUUUAAGAUUCUUCAUUUAUGUUGUGGUGAUCCAGGAGAGGAUUUUUGUUGUGGUUUUAAAACCAGAAGGAUUGCAGUUGAAGGACAGCGAAUUUCUUUCUUAUUUACAGCUGCUCCUGGCAGCAAUUCAGUUACUACAGUACUGGAACAUUUUGUGAAGUCUGUGACUGGCUAAUCCCAAUUCUUUUUAUUUCCACAUGCACAAAAUCAGUCUGUACCUGAGAGCAAGUUUUGCUUUUAGAUGGAGGCUGGGCAGGUAUCAAGCUGAAAUGAAGCCCUGUAAACAUGUGCCAUGGCUUAGGUAAUCUUUUCACAUAGGUUGAAGAUCAGAAGAUCAGAGAUAUCUUAAAAUAAUGGCCUUCAAAAACUUUUCUAGAAUAUCCCCAAAUAAAUUUUUUAAAUCAAUGCAUUUCUUCAUGCAUUUUGGGAUUACACCUAACAUUGUCAAAACAAAUUUACAUAGUUGUCAAGUAUAUGAUUUGUAAUAUUUUUUAAAUCUUUAAAUUAUAAGCAAAACAGGGCUGGGUGUGGUGGCUCAUGCUUGUAAUCCCAGCACUUUGAGAGGCCGAGGCAGGUGGAUCACCUGAGGUCAGAAGUUCAGGACUAGUCUGGCCAACAUGGUGAAAGCCCGUCUCUAUUAAAAAUACAAAAAUUAGCAAGGCAUGGUGGUGCGCACUUGUAGUCCCAGCUACUUGGGAGGCUGAGGCAGGAAAAUCGCUUGAAUGCGGGAGGCAGAGGUUGCAGUGAGUCAAGACUAUGCCACUGCACUCCAGCCUGGGCAACAGAGUGAGACUCUGUCUCCAAAAAAAAAAAAAAAAAAAAAAGUUUUUGGAAAAAUUUGACAAAGCAUAUCAUGUGAAUUCAGAUUUACCUCAAUACCAAGAAUUAUGUUUAAAUAGGACAAGGAAGAUUUUUUAAGUUUUUAUUUUAAGUUUAGGGGUACAUGUGCAGGUUUGCCAUAUAGGUAAACUCAUGUUAUGGGGGUUUGUUAUAUAGAUUAUUUAGUUACUCAGGGAUUAAGCCUAGUACCUGUUAUUUUCCCUGAUUCUCUCCCUUGUCUCACCCUCCACCCCUGGUAGGCCCUAAUGUCUGUUGUUUCCCUCUAUGCGUCCAUGUGUUCUCAUCUUUUAGCUUCCGCUUAUAAAUGAGAACAUGCGAUAUUUGGUUUUUUGUUCCUGCAUUAGUUUGCUAAGGAUAAUGGCCUCCAGGUCCAUCCAUGUUCCUGCAGGGGACAUGAUCUCAUUCUUUUUUACGGCUGCAUAGUAUUCCAUGGUGUAUAUUUACCACAUUUCUUUUAACCAGUCUACCAUUGAUGGCCACUUAGGUUGAUUCCAUGUCUUUGUUAUUGUGAAUAGUGCCACGACAAACAGACAUGUGCAUGUGUCUUUAUAAUAGAAUGAUUUAUAUUCUUUUGGGUAUAUACCCAGUAAUGGGAUUGCUGGGUCAAAUGAUAGUUCUGUUUUUAGGUCUUUGAGGAGUCGCCACACUGUUUUCCACCAUGGGUGAACUAAAUUAUAUUCUCACUAACAGUGUAUAAGCAUUCUUUUUUCUCUGCAACCUUGCCAGCAUCUGUUAUUUUUUGACUUUUCAGUAAUAGUCAUUCUGACUGGGGUGAGAUGGUACCUCGUUGUGGUUUUGAUUUGCAUUUCUCUAAUGAUCAGUAAUGUUGAGCUUUUUUUUUUCAUAUACUUGUUGGCCACAUGUAUGUCUUCUCUGGAAAAGUGUCUGUUUAUGUCCUUUGCCCACUUUUUAAUAGGGUUUUUGUUUUUUGCUUGUAAAUUUGUUUAAGUUCCUUAUAGACGCUGGAUAUUAGACUUCCGUCAGUUGCAUAGUUUGCAAAAUUUUCUCCCAUUCUGCAGGUUGUCUGUUUAUUAUGUUGAUAGUUUCUUUUGCUGCACAGAAGCUCUUUAGUUGAAUUAGGUCUCAUUUGUCAAUGUUUGCUUUCAUUGCAGUUGUGUUUGGUGUCUUUGUCAUGAAAUCUUUGUCUAUUCCUAUGUCCAGAAUAGUAUUGCCUAGGUUGUCUUCCAGGGGUUUUGGGUUUUACAUUUAAGUCUUUAAUCCACCUUGAGUUAAUUUUUGUAUAUGAUAUAAGGAAGGGGUCCAGUUUCAAUCUUCUGCAUAUAGCUAGCCAGUUAUCUCAGCACCAUUUAUUGAAUAGGGAGUCCCUUCCCCAUUGCUUAUUUUUGUCAGCUUUGUUGAAGAUCAGAUGGUUGUAAGUAUGCAGCUAUAUUUUUGGGCUGUCUGUUCUGUUCCAUUUGUCAAUGUGUCUGUUUUUGUACCCAUACCUUUCUGUUUUGGUUACUGUAGCCCUGUAGUAUAGUUUGAAGUCAGGUAGCAUGCUGCCUUCAGCUUUGCUCUUGUUGCUCAGGAGUGCUUUGGCUAUUCAGGCUCUUUUUUGGUUCCAUAUGAAUUUUAAAAUAGUUUUUUUCUAGUUCUGGGAAGAAUGUCAUUGGUAGUUUGAUAGUAAUAACAUUGAAUCUCUAAAUUGCUUUGGGCAGUAUGGUCAUUUUAACAAUAUUGAUUCUUCCUAUCCAUGAGCAAGGAACAUUUUUUUCAUUUGUUUGUGUCAUCUCUGAUUUCUUUGAGCAGUGUUUUGUAGUUCUCCUAGGAAAGAUAUUUUAUUCUUUUUUUUUUGGUAAUUGUGAAUGAGAUUGUGUUUGUGAUUUGGCUCUUGGCUUGACUGUUGUUGGUGUAUAGAAAUGCUAUUGAUUUUUGUACAUUGAUUCUGUAUCCUGAGACUUUACUGAAGUCAUUUAUAAGCUGAAGGAACUUUUGUGUAAAGACUAUGGGGUUUUCUACAUAUAGAAUCAAGUCAUCUGUAAACAGGGAUAAUUUGACUUCUCUUCCUAUUUGGAUGCCCUUUCUUUCUUUCUCUUGCCUGAUUGCUGUAGCUAGGACUUGCAAUACUAUGUUGGAUAGGAGUGGUGAUGGAGGGCAUCUUGUCUUGUGCUGAUUUUCAAGGGGAGUGCUUCCAGCUUUUGCCCAUUCGGUAUCAUGUUGGCUGUGGGUUUGUCAUAGAUGGCUCUUAUUAUUUUGAAGUAUGUUCCUUCCAUACCUAGUUUAUUGAGAGUUUUUUAACAUGAAGCAGUGUUGAAUUUUAAUGAAAGCCUUUUCUGCAUCCAUUGAGAUAAUCAUGUGGUUUUUGUCUUUAGUUCCAUUUAUGAGACAAAUCACAUUUAUUGAUUUGCGUAUGUUGAACCAACCUUGCAUUGCAGAGAUAAAACCUAUUUUAUCAUGGUAGAUAAGCUUUUCAAUGUUCUUCUGGAUUUGGUUUGCCAGUAUUUUGUUGAGGAUUUUUGCAUCAAGGUUCAUCAAGGAUAUUGACCUGAAGUUUUCUUUUUUUGUU